rnacentral:lncRNA from 1 species
UUUCGAAUGGUAAAUAACUUCAAGAGCUUUGGAGCUUGAUCUUGAAUCUGUGUUUGUUGCCACGAACAAUAAUUUUGUUCUUGAGCUUGAUUGCUUGAACUUGCUCUUGCUUCGUUCUUCGUUGUUGAGUUUGAACUUGAUUUCUUGAACUUGAACUUGAUUGCUUGAAGCUUGAAACUUGUGGAGAAAUUUGCGGCGUUUGAUCCACGAGCUCUUUC